UACGUAGGGCGCAAGCGUUGUCCGGAAUUAUUGGGCGUAAAGAGCUCGUAGGUGGCGUGUCGCGUCUGCCGUGAAAGCCCAUGGCUUAACUGUGGGUCGCGGUGGAUACGGGCAGGCUGGAGGCUGGUAGGGGCAAGCGGAAUUCCUGGUGUAGCGGUGAAAUGCGCAGAUAUCUGGAGGAACACCGGUGGCGAAGGCGGCGUUCUGGGACUGCAACUGACACUGAGGAACGAAAGCCAGGGGAGCAAACGGG
rnacentral:rRNA from 1 species